rnacentral:lncRNA from 1 species
UAUGAACCUCAUCUUAACUAAUUACUAUUAUUGGGUUUCUGUUUUUGAGGCAGAUUCUGGCUCUGUCACCCAGGCUGGAGUUCAGACACAUUAAUCUGUGCAAGGAAAAAGCAUGGGAAGCUGGGAGAUCAGUGUGAUCUUGGGCAAGUCAUUUCUCUGAGUCUCAGUUUCCCCACCCUACCAACUCCCUGGGCUGCUAAGGGGAUUCAUUCCUUGGGCAGAUAUGUACUGAGCACUUGCAUCUUCCAGGCACUUUGGGUGCAGGUACACAAGGCAGAUCCACUAAGUCCCGCUCUUCUGGGGUUUACAGUCUGGACGGGAUAAAGAUACUGUAGAGAACCUUCUAUAGAUCACUUUAUAGUGUCACUGUGAUAAAUGCCAUGAAGUGCUGUGAGGGUGGGUGACACGGUGGUC